rnacentral:lncRNA from 1 species
AGAUUCAUUUUCUGCUCAGACACCGUUGCUUGCAAAAUUCCACCCAGAAGAUAAGGGAGGGAGUAUCGCUGCAGCGUCCUGCUCUGUGCCUGGUUAUAUUACUGGAUCCUUGUGUUGCAGCCCUAAGAUAGAAGGAUUGUCUCCAUUUCACAGAUGAGAGAGAACUGAUGCGCAGGAGGCUGAAAUUGUCUGAAGUCACACAGCAGCCUCCUCUUAAACAUGACAAAGAAUCCAAGGACUUGUGCUGGGGCUGUCAGCUGCUAUUCUGGUGCCCUGGGGACGAAGAAGGGAUCUGGAGGGAAGACUGUCACCCUCUUGCGAAUGUUUCCAAGAAGCAGCUCAGCAUGGGAGAGAAAAGGGGAGAUCCCAGUUCCAGGAACACCUGGCCAGUGUUUCACCUGUUUAUCGGAGUUGACAGGACCAGCCAGCCCUUUCCCACCUCUCCCCAUCAUGAUGGAUGGGAGCCUGGCCUUUGAGAUUCCUGCGAAGGAAUGACAAAGAACAUCAAGGCUCAAUCCUUGGAACUCUCCAUCACUCAUCUUUAAAUUAGACUUCUCUGCUGACUCUCAGAGUUGUGUAUGCUGAGAAUCCACUGCCUCUAAGACAUCCUGCUUGGCAGGUUCCUAUCUCCCUUCGACUGAGGCAUCGUUUCCAAAUCAGACACUUCUCGUCACCACUAUUGCCCUCCCCUUGUCCAACCCACCUUUGGCUCUUGGCUGGAGUCCGGUGAGUCUCCUAGCUGGCUCUCCCUGUUCUCGUCAUUUCCCAGUAAGUUCCAACCCUGCCUUCAGACUCUUCUGCACACAGCUUCCAGAGUAAUCCUUUCAAAAAGUAAGUCAGAUCCCAUCUUUUCCCUCCCGUCUCACUCUGUCAGCCACAUUCAUUCCAAAGGACCAUGUGGUCCAUGUCCCUGUUCUCUCUGGUUCUCUCACUGCUCUCCUCUGUGCUUACUCUCUCCUGCCUCACAAUGUUUGCACUUACUGUUUCUUCUGCUUGGAACUCUUUCCCUCCAAGACCUUUUUUUUUUGAGACGGAGUCUCGCUCUGUCGCCCAGGCUGGAGCGCAGUGGUGCAAUCUCUGCUCACUGCAAGCUCUGCCUCCCAGGUUCACGUCAUUCUCCUGCCUCAGCCUCCCGAGUAGCUGGGACUACACGCACCAGCCACCAUACCCAGCUCAUUUUUUUUGUAUUUUCAGUAGAGACGGGGUUUCACCAUGUUGGCCAGGAUGGUCUUGAUCUCCUGACCUCGUGAUCCGCCCGCCUCGGCCUCCCUAAGCGCUGGGAUUACAGGUGUGAACCACCGCGCCCGGCCUCCCUCCAAGAUCUUUACUCACGUUGUCACCUUAGUGACGGCUCCCUCCCUAACCAUCCUAUUUAAAAUUGCAGCCCGUUCAACACCCAUUCCUCCUUCUCCAUCCUUGCUCUGCUUCCUCCCUUUGACCUGUCACUCUUUAAUCCAGUGGCAUUCUGAUUCAAUGGUGACUGGGAGCAGGACCUAAGGAGGUGCGUCAUCUGUAGAGAAUUUGAAAAUAAUCGUGAAAUAAACUCAAAGUGGGUUUGCUCUUUAUGAGCCCCGCACACCAGCAAUUCUAAAUUCUGUUAUCAAUAUACUUUCCUGCCAGGGUGGGCCGCCCCCACCGAUUCUCCUCUAUCUUAAUACACUAUGUGUUUCCCUUGUUUAUUUUGCUUAUUGUUCAUUUCCAUGCACUAGAAUAUAAGCUCCGCGAGGGCAGUAUAUUUUGUCUGUUUUGUUCACCACUGUGUCCCUCGUGUCUGCCACAUGGUGUGUGCUCAGUAAGCUUUAGCUGAAUGAAUGAAGUGGUGGAUGUCGACGUUCCCUUAGUUGGGGGUUAUCAGGAGGGCUUCCUGGAUGAAUUGGUGUCUAUAUUGCCUGUCCUUAAAGAGGAGGAAGGUGCUCUAGGCAGAAGGAACAGCAGGUACAAAAGCAACUUGACUGUCAGGGUCAUUAGCUAAGAGUAGGAGUCAGAGGGAUGAGUGGGUGUCGUUCACCAGAAUUUACCCUUCAAAAUGUCAGUGCUUAGUAAAUGAAUGUGUUCCUUUAUUACUAGUUGUUGGAGGGUCCUUGUUGACAUCUUGCAGAGGUCUGGCUGUCACUUUUAAUCAGAAUGGCUAUUCCCCACUCCUGCUGAAGAGCUCCAGGCCUGGCGGGGGUGGGCUGGCGGGCUGUGGUGGUGGUAAGGGCUGUCCCCCAGCACACUGUUAGAACUUUACUUAUCCUCUUGCUUGAAGUGUGGGAGCUGGAGACCAUUCAGGAAGCUGUGGUUACAGUCCCAGACAGGGUCCCUAAAAGCAAGGAGCCAUUCCCAAUGCUUCCUCCUUAGGGAAGCCUUCCCUACUUUCUCUUCCCUCUUCUGGGCAGAGUUUGUACCUUCCUCCUUUUUGCUCUCUGUUUAUUUCUUUAAUUUAACACUUAACAACAUAAUACCAUCUUUAUUUGUUCCAUGUUUGUAUCUUCUACUGAAUGUGGCUUCAAGAACAGAAAGCACAGAACGUGGCACGUUGGAGGAAAUCAGUAAGUGUUUGCUAAAGGUCCAACAAUGAAACAGAACAGAUAUAUCCAGUGCUAUGCCGCGUCAAAAGAGUAUGAGAGGUAUUGUGGUGAUGCUUUUGAAUGCUAAUCAGAAUAAGGAGGGUGACUAGUCCAUAGUUAUAUAGAAUAUAGGAUAUACAGAAUAUACCUUUUUCUGUAACGGGAUGUGUCACUUAACUUUGUUCCUUAAAGCUCCAGAAGCCCAAGGUCACCCACAAUGAUUCAAGUAUUAUCAAUGUUGAGAGCCUGUAAAAGCAUCAAGUAUAUUAUAGUUUCCAAAAAAUUGUGAAUUAGACUGAAAACCAGCAUUUAAAAAAUAAAGUGAUGUUGACUUAAACACUGGUUUUAUAUACAUGCCGCAUAUGAGCUGUGGAGGCCGCUCACAUGCCAGCGUACUGGUUCAUCUGCAAUGGGCAGGCGGGCCAUACCCCACUGGGGAGAAAUCUUAUGGGCUUCAGAAAUGUCUAAUGAAAUAAGAUUUUUAACUAGUUCAAAAUCGGAGUUCAGAAACAGUUCAGUUAAUAUUUAAGUGUCGAGUUAAGAGAGGAGGUUGAACAAAAUUCAUUUUGAAGCUUUCACAGAGUUUUUAAAAAGCAAAACUUUAGACUUAAAAUGGACUGUUUUAUUAUAUGCAAUGCACGUGAAUAUUAAAUGUAUGUUAAGUUUUUCAUUUAGCAGAUUUCUCCCCAGACUUUUAAAACCACCACCAAAAAAUAUUUACAUAUUCUCUCCUCUCCCCCAAAGCAUCCCUCCCGUACACAAAUACCCUUAUUUUGAGACCGUGUUGCUCUAGAUUAAACCAGUUCUUCCAAGAGCAGCCCGUAGGAUUCUGCUCCAUCCAGAGCAAGGCCCUUGGCUAAAGUCACUGCCUCUGCUUGACUGAGCCGGGCUGGGAAUCUCAUUAUGGAAGCUUUCCACCUCCUUCCCAAGCCAGCCCUCUAGCGGAGGCCAAGAUUGCGUCAUCGGUCCUGGGCCUCAUCCCUCCUUGCCUGAGGCCUGCUCACCUAAUGUGUUUCAGGAGCAUUCCAGCAGCCAGGCCUUCAGUUGCUCCCCGAUCCCAGAUGGGGAAAACCUUGUGCGGCACAUUUGCCUCAGGAAGACUGCACUGGGCUCCCCGGCGCCCCUAGGACAGCGUCCCUUCACGUCGGAGAGACUGGGUGUGGGCCGUGAGGUUUAGGAGGCUUUAGGAGAAGGAAGAUCCUCUCUCAGGAGUGAAAUGAUCUUAUCUGAGAGGAUGGAAGUGGUGAGGGCAUCAGCAUGGGUCCUGGGCUGCGGCUGUGCCUCUUCCUCCCCAUGCUGACACGUGCUUGCCCACAAGCGCCCCGGGCCUCUACAUCUCUUGGUAGUUUAAAGCUCUAUUUUAGUCUCAACUAGCAGUUUCUCUCACUGGUAGAUCUAAGUUCUAAGACUAUUCAAUGGGUUCUGUUUCUUUUUUUAAGAAUUAAAAAAACUGUUCCAGUUAAUUCACGGUCACUAUGAAAAAAAUAGGCAGGACAUGUAAAUAAAAGAUUAAAAUAUAUACAAAUCAAAGAAGGAAGUACACCCAGGCCAGUUAUCAGGCAAGCUUGCCAGACAUCAAUCCAGCAAGAAAACGAUAGUGUGCUUUGAAAAUGCCAAAUCCGGCCGGGCGGGCGGCUCCCGCCUGUGAUCCCGGCACUUUGGGAGGCCGAGGCGGGCGGAUCACGAGGUCAGGAGAUCGAGACCAUCCUGGCUAACACGGUGAAACCCCGUCUCUACUAAAAAUACAAAAAAUUAGCCGGGCGUGGUGGCGGGCGCCUGUAGUCCCAGCUACUUGGGAGGCUGAGGCAGGAGAAUGGCGUGAACCCGGGAGGCGGAGCUUGCAGUGAGCCGAGAUGGCACCACUGCACUCCAGCCUGGGCAACAGAGCAAGACUCUGUCUCAAAAAAAAAAAAAAAAAAAAAGAAAAAGAAAAGAAAAUGCCAAAUCCGGCCAGGUGCGGUGGCUCAUGCCUGUAAUCCCAGCAUUUUGGGAGGCCAAGGCGGGUGGAUCACCAGAAGUCAGGAGUUCAAGACCAGCUUGACCAACAUGGAGAAACCCCGUCUCUACUAAAAAUACAAAAUUAGCUGGGCAUGGUGACGCAUGCCUGUAAUCCCAGCCACUCGGGAGCCUGAGGCAGGAGAAUCACUUAAACCCAGGAGGCAGAGGUUACUGUGAGCCAAGAUCGUCCCAUUGCACUCCAGCCUGGGCAACAAAAGUGAGACUCUGUCUCAAAAAAAAAAAAGAAAAAAGAAAGAAAAAAAGAAAAUGCCAAAUCCAUUACUUCUUUGGGAACCUCAGGUGUAACCGCUGGUGUGCUGUGGAUGACACAGCAUCACUGGGAUCUGGUGCCUGGUAUGAGCUGUGUGAAGGAGUAGGAGUGUGCUCACCCAUCCGCAGGGCCACCGUUGGUCACUGUCCUACAUUUUCCCUCCUUGCUCCCAGGGCUAGUCCUGGUUAGGUGUGGGCGGCAAUCUGGGGACAGCAGUCAGCUUGCUGUCUGCUCCACUCUGCAACAAACUGCCUUCCUCAGUGCCCACCCCAACGGAGAAGGAACAAAUGGUCUUCUGUUUGGAUGGAGGAGAGGAUUUGUAUCUGUUCUCAGCUGCCUGUGGGUUUGUGCUUCCCACCUGCCUGCCCAGGCCUCAUCUGAUGUAUCAGGAGUCCUCUGGGCGGGCACCAAUGAGGGCAGCCUUUCAACUAAUCCGGGGUGCCACCGAGGAGCUGGAGUGCGAGCUCUUUGGCCCUAUGGGAAGCUCCCCUGGGAGGCUGCACUCUUUUCUACCAGUGAAUGUUCUUUCACCCACUUCCUGCGGGCGCUGGCCAGAUCCUCUGUGAGCAGUGGAGCUUGGCAUGGUUCAGCGUGGAGCAGCCCUCCCAGCCACCCAGGGAAAUCUCUCCAUUCAAUUACCUCCUGGCUUCCCACGCGUGGCCCAUUAGCCUUGUCUGGGGCUCUUAUGCAUCAGGAUUUAUCAUUGUGCAGCACCUGCGGGGGAGCUUGCCCCAGGCUUUGAAGGUCCUUCUGCAGAGGAGCUUAGGCAGGAGCAGGGGGCGCACGGAGGAGGUUUCUCUCAGUGGAGGAGCACGUGCUAUGAUUUCCUAGCCUGCUGUUGACGCUCCAUUGCGGUCCUCAUCACUUCAGAGCACUUUCAUUCUUAUUUUAUUUUUAAAUUUUUAAAAGAGACUGGGUCUCUUUUGUUGCCCAGGCUAGAGUACCGUGCUGUGAUCACAGCUCCCUGGAGGCUUAAACUCCUGGGCUCAAGCAAUUCUCGUGUCUCAGCCCCCUGAGUCGCUAAGACUACAGGUGGGCAUCACCAUGCCUGGCUAAUUGAUUUUAUUUUUUAGAGAUGAGCUCUUGCCACGUUUCCCAGACUGUGCUUGAACUCCUGGCCUCAAGCAAUCCUCCCACUUCAGCCCCAAGAGUUGCUGGGAUUACAGGGGGAAGCCACCUUGUCCGGCCCAGAAGCACUUUUCAAAGCCUCUUACGUUGGAUGCUGUAGGUUCCAUGCGACAAUGACACUAAUUAUGAUUUAAGCAGCACCUACUAGAAAGGAGCGUGUCUCAUACAUUAUUGAUCACUCUUAAAACUGCCUAGCUCCACGUGGUGGCUCACUCCUGUAAUCCCAGCUCUUUGGGAGGCUGAGGCAGGCGGAUCACCUGAGGUCAGCAGUUCGAGACCAGCCUGGCCAACAUGGCGAAACCCCCUUUCUCUACUAAAAAUACAAAAAUUAGCCAGGCGUGGAGGCGCGUGCCUGUAAUCCCAGCUACUUGGGAGGCUGAGGCAGGAGAAUCACUUGAACCUGGGAGACGGAGGUUGCAGUGAGCCGAGAUUGCACCACUGCACUCCAGCCUGGGUGACAGAGUGAGACUCCAUGUAAAAACAAACAAACAAAGAACCCCAAACUGCCUAGCUCCAUUUUGUUCAACAAGAGGCUCAGAGAGUAUGUUUGAGGUCACCCACGUGUGUAUUUUACGUCUAAAACCUCUCCUGACCCUCGAAUGACCCACUCCUGGCUGUAGUCAGUUAGGUCUGUUCAGCCGCAGGAGAGGAGGCUCACAACGGCCAGGCAGGCUCCGAUCUUCUCAAUGUGGUCCCUCGCUGUGGCGGCUUAGCUUAGAUCUUCUCUCAAACUCAGGCCGCUAGAGGGUCCCCACCGGGAAAGGGACACGCCAGGGCGUGGGGCAGGUCUGGAGCGGCCCGGGGCCGGGUGGAUCCCGGCGCUCUGCUUUUACCUGGCAGGCGGGAGCGGUCCGGCGGGGCGUGGGCGCAGCGGGGGCCCGGGGCUGGAGGGGAGGGGACGGAGGGGGCAGGAGGGGGAGGGCCGGGAGGAGCCAGCAAGCUGGCGGCGGCGGCGGCCUUGAGCCACUGGCUGGGGCUGGUUGUGGCCGAGGCUGUGGCGAGAGGCGGGGCCGCUGGUGUGGCCAACGAGCCCGUAAUGAAGCCCGGCGCCUGAGUCCCCUUUGUUCCCGGGGAACUACUUAAAAAGCCCCCUCCUCAGUCCCCGUGCGGGGCGAAUGAGGACAAUGGCCGGAGUCGCAGUGGGCAGAGCGGAACGCCCCCUUCAGAGAGGCCUUUCCAGCCGCGCGGCCCGGGGGACUGCAGGCGGGGCGCGCGCUGCCCUUCGAGGCCAAGAGGCCAACGGUGAAACAACAAAGAUUUUUUUUUUCUUUCUUUUUUCUUUUUUUUUUAGAAAGAAAUCUCGCCAUUGCCGGGAAUGGGUAAAUCACUCAGGCCGCGUGGGUCCUUGGCAGAUGGCAGAGGCGGCUUCCCAGUCCCCCACCUGGCACUAGAGGGACGGGGCGCGCACCCAACGGUGGCACGCAUCGCCGAAUUUUCCUGAAUGCCGCUGUGGCACAUUCCUGGCCUUUGCAGUUAUUAGGAAAUGAGAGGAUCUUUUUUCCUUCUACUCUCCCCUCCCCCUGCCUUCGUUUUUCUUCCAGGCAUGGAAUUAUCUACUUUAGCAGUUCAAAAGACAUUCCAUUCCCAUGACAAAGACAGAAAGGGGUGAUGUUGGCAUACUGUAGCCCUCUUUCUCAUAGGGAGACUUGAGCAAUAAAUCAUAAUGAAUGAGA